AUUGAACGCUGGCGGCAUGCUUUACACAUGCAAGUCGAACGGCAGCGCGGGGGCAACCCUGGCGGCGAGUGGCGAACGGGUGAGUAAUAUAUCGGAACGUGCCCAGUCGUGGGGGAUAACGCAGCGAAAGUUGUGCUAAUACCGCAUACGAUCUAUGGAUGAAAGCGGGGGAUCGCAAGACCUCGCGCGAUUGGAGCGGCCGAUAUCAGAUUAGGUUGUUGGUGAGGUAAAAGCUCACCAAGCCUGCGAUCUGUAGCUGGUCUGAGAGGACGACCAGCCACACUGGAACUGAGACACGGUCCAGACUCCUACGGGAGGCAGCAGUGGGGAAUUUUGGACAAUGGACGCAAGUCUGAUCCAGCAAUGCCGCGUGCAGGACGAAGGCCUUCGGGUUGUAAACUGCUUUUGUACAGAACGAAAAGUACUUUAAUAACACUAGAGGCUCAUGACGGUACUGUAAGAAUAAGCACCGGCUAACU
rnacentral:rRNA from 1 species